GUGCUCACUUAGGCAGCACAUAUACUAAAAUUGGAGUGAUAGAGAGAAGAUUAGCAAGGAUGAUAUGCAAAUUUGUGAAGCAUUCCAUAUUAAA
rnacentral:snRNA from 1 species